CACCACCCAUCACUACAACCAACUAGAUGGUUUAGUGAGGCCCUUGGCUCGGCCCUGCCAAGGUUGGCCCAUAGCCCUGGCAGAGCACUGAGAAGAUGGUCUAACUUGACUAUCUAGAGGAAGUAAAAUUCAUAACAAGGUUUCUGUAGGUGAAUAACCGGAAG
rnacentral:ncRNA from 1 species